CCUACGGGAGGCAGCAGUGAGGAAUAUUGGUCAAUGGCCGGAAGGCUGAACCAGCCAUGCCGCGUGAAGGUCAGUGCCCUAUGGGCGUUAAACUUCUUUUGUGCGGGAGCAAUAAUGGUCACGUGUGGCCAGACGAGAGUACCGUACGAAUAAGCAUCGGCUAACUCCGUGCCAGCAGCCGCGGUAAUACGGGGGAUGCAAGCGUUAUCCGGAUUUAUUGGGUUUAAAGGGUGCGUAGGGUGUGAGGUAAGUCAGCGGUGAAAUGCCCCCGCUCAACGGGGUGAAGUGCCAUUGAUACUGCCUGGCUGGAAUGCGGAUGCCGUGGGAGGAAUGUGUGGUGUAGCGGUGAAAUGCAUAGAUAUCACACAGAACACCGAGUGCGAAGGCAUCUCACGAAUCCGCGAUUGACGCUGAUGCACGAAAGCGUGGGUAUCAAACAGGAUUAGAUACCCUGGUAGUC
rnacentral:rRNA from 1 species